ACGCUCGACACCUACGAGGCAGCAGUCGGGAAUAUUGCGCAAUGGAGGAAACUCUGACGCAGUGACGCCGCGUGCAGGAAGAAGGUUUUCGGAUUGUAAACUGCUUUAGACAGGGAAGAAAGAAAUGACAGUACCUGUAGAAUAAGCUCCGGCUAACUACGUGCCCGCAGCCGCGGUAAUCUGAGCGGGCUGGCAAGGC
rnacentral:rRNA from 1 species